rnacentral:ribozyme from 13 species
UCUCUUUUUUUCUCUUUUCUCUUUUCUCUUUCUUUCUCGGAGUCAGACAGGGAUUGGAGGUCAGAGAUUGCAGAGAUGUCUUCCCUUGAAGUGUCUUGCAACUUUCUUUUCUGGUUUGACCAGAAAAGAAACUCUUCAUGAACAAAGAAAAAGAAAAGAGAACUUACAA